rnacentral:rRNA from 1 species
GAGAUCUUCGGAUCUAGUGGCGCUCCGGUGCGUAACAGGGUGGUAAUCUGCCCUUGGGUUCGGAAUAACUUCUGGAAACGGAUUCCCAUACCGGAUGAUGACCUAAGUCCAAAGAUUUAUCGCCGGGGGAUGAGCCCGCGUAGGAUUAGCUAGUUGGUGGGGUAAAGGCCCACCCCCCCACCAUCCUUAGCUGGUCUGAGAGGAUGAUCAGCCACACUGGGACUGAGACACGGCCCAAACUCCUAC